UACGGAGGGUGCAAGCGUUAAUCGGAAUUACUGGGCGUAAAGUGUGCGCAGGCGGCAGAGCAAGUCGAGUGUGAAAGCCCCGGGCUUAACUUGGGAAUUGCGCUCGAAACUACUUUGCUGGAGUGUGGCAGAGGAAGGUGGAACUCCACGUGUAGCGGUGAAAUGCGUAGAGAUGUGGAGGAACACCAAUGGCGAAGGCAGCCUUCUGGGCCAACACUGACGCUCAUGCACGAAAGCGUGGGGAGCAAACAGG
rnacentral:rRNA from 1 species